rnacentral:rRNA from 1 species
CAAACUUGAGAGUUUGAUCCUGGCUCAGAACGAACGCUGGCGGCAUGCCUAACACAUGCAAGUCGAACGAGACCUUCGGGUCUAGUGGCGCACGGGUGCGUAACGCGUGGGAAUCUGCCCUUGGGUUCGGAAUAACUUCGGGAAACUGAAGCUAAUACCGGAUGAUGUCGCAAGACCAAAGAUUUAUCGCCUGAGGAUGAGCCCGCGUGAGAUUAGGUAGUUGGUGGGGUAAAGGCCUACCAAGCCGACGAUCUCUAGCUGGUCUGAGAGGAUGAUCAGCCACACUGGGACUGAGACACGGCCCAGACUCCUACGGGAGGCAGCAGUGGGGAAUAUUGGACAAUGGGCGAAAGCCUGAUCCAGCAAUGCCGCGUGAGUGAUGAAGGCCUUAGGGUUGUAAAGCUCUUUUACCCGGGAUGAUAAUGACAGUACCGGGAGAAUAAGCCCCGGCUAACUCCGUGCCAGCAGCC